GCAGCGCGAGAGAGCUUGCUCUCUUGGCGGCGAGUGGCGGACGGGUGAGUAAUAUAUCGGAACGUGCCCAGUAGCGGGGGAUAACUACUCGAAAGAGUGGCUAAUACCGCAUACGCCCUACGGGGGAAAGGGGGGGAUCGCAAGACCUCUCACUAUUGGAGCGGCCGAUAUCGGAUUAGCUAGUUGGUGGGGUAAAGGCUCACCAAGGCAACGAUCCGUAGCUGGUUUGAGAGGACGACCAGCCACACUGGGACUGAGACACGGCCCAGACUCCUACGGGAGGCAGCAGUGGGGAAUUUUGGACAAUGGGGGAAACCCUGAUCCAGCCAUCCCGCGUGUAUGAUGAAGGCCUUCGGGUUGUAAAGUACUUUUGGCAGAGAAGAAAAGGUAUCCCCUAAUACGGGAUACUGCUGACGGUAUCUGCAGAAUAAGCACCGGCUAACUACGUGCCAGCAGCCGCGGUAAUACGUAGGGUGCAAGCGUUAAUCGGAAUUACUGGGCGUAAAGCGUGUGUAGGCGGUUCGGAAAGAAAGAUGUGAAAUCCCAGGGCUCAACCUUGGAACUGCAUUUUUAACUGCCGAGCUAGAGUAUGUCAGAGGGGGGUAGAAUUCCACGUGUAGCAGUGAAAUGCGUAGAUAUGUGGAGGAAUACCGAUGGCGAAGGCAGCCCCCUGGGAUAAUACUGACGCUCAGACACGAAAGCGUGGGGGAGCAAACAGGAUUAGAUACCCUGGUAGUCCACGCCCUAAACGAUGUCAACUAGCUGUUGGGGCCGUUAGGCCUUA
rnacentral:rRNA from 1 species